GUUUAAGUGACGCUGAAAAUGACCCGGAGGAUUCACCUGCCGACAAUCAGCAGCAGUUGUAUUCAUCUCUUCUUCACAGUGAUGUUAAUGUCUAUGAACCUAUCAGAGGCUCAAACAGCAAAGAUGCUGAGGAAACAAGCGACUAUGCAGAUGUCAAUAUCUCAUGAUCGGAGUUCAUUCAGUGUCUCUUAUUAUUUGCAUUAUUUUACAUAAGUCUGACCAGUCCAGCUCAUAAGUCACACUCAGAAGACAGAAAUGAACCUGUCCUGAAUAGCUUUAGAAUGAUCUUGAGCUGAAUCAGAACAAUUAUAAGAGCACAUAGACUAGUAUACGCCCAUGGACCACUAUGGAACAUACCUGCAGAACUGAGGGAGUACAGAGAUAUAAGGCCACACAGGAAUAUAAAACAAAAAACUAUGAUUUAAUGCUCAAAAUUAUGUUCUAUUGUUUAAAUACCCUGUUACUUGCACAGUAUGUUGUUAUUUAUUGAAUUUUUUUACAUUGUAUUUUUUCAUUUGGGCAAUUGCUGAAGCACUUUUUUUUUUUUUUAACCACAAACCUAUAAGAGAGCUAUGUAUCUAUCUCUUCGUAUUAAAGUGUUAAUACAAAGGUUUGUGUGCAUUUUUAGGCAGCAGAUCGCCCAAAACAAAAUAUCGGUCUGUGCUGGAGAUUUACACUUAAAAAGUCCAAAUAUCGGCAUGGUAUAUCGGCCAAGCAAUAUAUCGGUCUAUCUCUAUUUGAAAUCAUGCAGGUCAAAUAUUAAAUAAAGAACACACUAUGGUAUUUCCAAAGAAAUAUUUAUGUUAUAUAUCACAUUUAAAGGUGCAAUGUGUAACUUUUUGGUAGGAGGUCUGUCACCUGCUUGUUUCUAUGGAUACAUCAUUGUUCUGCCUGGAAUAUUCCACAGUAUGACAUUAAACAGCACUAAUUUACAUUUAUUCAAUUACAGGUGGUUUUAUAGCUCAAAAAAAAAAACAGGCAUUCUGUCUGUGAGCGGGGUCACCUCUCCACAGAUCUGACCUGUAACUUCGCCUGGUUUG